rnacentral:rRNA from 1 species
GAUGAACGCUGGCGGCGUGCCUAAUACAUGCAAGUCGAGCGAACGGACGAGAAGCUUGCUUCUCUGAUGUUAGCGGCGGACGGGUGAGUAACACGUGGAUAACCUACCUAUAAGACUGGGAUAACUUCGGGAAACCGGAGCUAAUACCGGAUAAUAUUUUGAACCGCAUGGUUCAAAAGUGAAAGACGGUCUUGCUGUCACUUAUAGAUGGAUCCGCGCUGCAUUAGCUAGUUGGUAAGGUAACGGCUUACCAAGGCAACGAUGCAUAGCCGACCUGAGAGGGUGAUCGGCCACACUGGAACUGAGACACGGUCCAGACUCCUACGGGAGGCAGCAGUAGGGAAUCUUCCGCAAUGGGCGAAAGCCUGACGGAGCAACGCCGCGUGAGUGAUGAAGGUCUUCGGAUCGUAAAACUCUGUUAUUAGGGAAGAACAUAUGCGUAAGUAACUGUGCACAUCUUGACGGUACCUAAUGAGAAAGCCACGGCUAACUACGUG